GUAACAUGCAACAUCACCAAACAUUUACUUGAUAAACAUCACCUGCUUAUGUUAUUUUUUUCAUUCUGAUAUGAUUUGAAACAACCAAACAUAGAACCAAAAAAUCUGGUUAAAAGGAACUGCUUAACUUUUUUACACAGCUAUAAAUGAAAACUUGAAAACAUCUUCUAUAGCCUUUUAUACCCAAUAGCAUCAGCUGGGCAUGGUGUCU
rnacentral:lncRNA from 10 species